rnacentral:rRNA from 1 species
GACGUAGGGGGCGAGCGUUGUCCGGAUUUAUUGGGCGUAAAGCGCGCGUAGGCGGCCUGUUAAGUCGGGUGUGAAAACCCGGGGCUCAACCCCGGGCCUGCAUUCGAUACUGGCAGGCUAGAGGCAGGCAGGGGAGAUCGGAAUUCCUGGUGCAGCGGUGAAAUGCGCAGAUAUCAGGAGGAACACCGGUGGCGAAGGCGGAUCUCUGGGCCUGUCCUGACGCUCAGGCGCGAAAGCUAGGGGAGCAAACAGG